rnacentral:rRNA from 1 species
AUUAUGGCUCAGGAUGAACGCGGGCGGUAUGCUUAACACAUGCAAGUCGAACGGUCUUUUCGGAGAUAGUGGCGGACGGGUGAGUAACGCGUGAGAAUCUGGCUUCAGGUCGGGGAUAACUACUGGAAACGGUAGCUAAUACCGGAUAUGCCGAGAGGUGAAAGGUUAACUGCCUGGAGAUGAGCUCGCGUCUGAUUAGCUAGUUGGUGGGGUAAGAGCCUACCAAGGCGACGAUCAGUAGCUGGUCUGAGAGGAUGAUCAGCCACACUGGGACUGAGACACGGCCCAGACUCCUACGGGAGGCAGCAGUGGGGAAUUUUCCGCAAUGGGCGAAAGCCUGACGGAGCAAUACCGCGUGAGGGAGGAAGGCUCUUGGGUCGUAAACCUCUUUUCUCAGGGAAGAAAAAAAUGACGGUACCUGAGGAAUAAGCAUCGGCUAACUCCGUGCCAGCAGCCGCGGUAAUACGGAGGAUGCAAGCGUUAUCCGGAAUGAUUGGGCGUAAAGCGUCCGCAGGUGGCAAUGUAAGUCUGCUGUUAAAGAGUCUAGCUCAACUAGAUAAGGGCGGUGGAAACUACAUAGCUAGAGUACGUUCGGGGCAGAGGGAAUUCCUGGUGUAGCGGUGAAAUGCGUAGAUAUCAGGAAGAACACCGGUGGCGAAAGCGCUCUGCUAGGCCGUAACUGACACUGAGGGACGAAAGCUAGGGGAGCGAAUGGGAUUAGAUACCCCAGUAGUCCUAGCCGUAAACGAUGGAUACUAGGCGUGGCUUGUAUCGACCCGAGCCGUGCCGUAGCUAACGCGUUAAGUAUCCCGCCUGGGGA